rnacentral:lncRNA from 1 species
AACUAACAAACGGCGGGGAACAAUACAAUGGUAAAGUUAGAUUUGUAGCGGACUGGAGUUCAUGUUUGCCAUGGCAUGCGGUCAGACAGUGUAGACAUCACCUGUUCAAUUAUAAAGACGCGGAUAAAAAUUUGGAGAAGAACUAUUGUCGUAACCCAGACAAUACCAGAGGACCGUGGUGUUACACUAAGGCGGAGGGUUGUGUUAGGAACUAUUGUGAUGCAUGCAAUUUUGUUUCGACGACAGUCUGCGGUGCCCCAGUAUUACCACCUGAUGCUAGACAGGAUUCUUUAAAGGCCGAGUAUAGUGUUGGCGAGAAAGUCGUUGUUGUAUGUAAUAAACGGGAUACAGACGUCAGGGAAAUAACAUGUCUCUCUGACGGAAAUUGGACGCUAUUGAAAUAUAU